GGAUUGUGGCUCAGUGGCAGAGUGCUUGUCUUGCACGUGUGAGGCAAUGGGUUCAAUCCUCAGCACCA
rnacentral:tRNA from 1 species